rnacentral:rRNA from 1 species
GCUGGCGGCACGCCUUAUACAUGCAAGUCGAACGAAGUAGCAAUACUUAGUGGCAGACGGGUGAGUAACAUGUGGGUAUCUUCCCUUUGGUGAGGAAUAACACGAGGAAACUUGUGCUAAUACCUCAUAAGUCUUUACGGAGAAAGCUUUAUGCGCCAAUGGAUGAGCCCGCACUUGAUUAGUUUGUUGGUGGGGUAAUGGCCUACCAAGACUUUGAUCAAUAGCUGAUUUGAGAGGAUGAUCAGCCACAUUGGGACUGAGACACGGCCCAAACUCCUACGGGAGGCAGCAGUAAGGAAUCUUGCACAAUGGAGGAAACUCUGAUGCAGCGAUGCCGCGUGAGUGAAGAAGGCCUUUGGGUUGUAAAGCUCUUUCGUCGGGGAAGAAAAUGACUGUACCCGAAUAAGAAGGUCCGGCUAACUUCGUGCCAGCAGCCGCGGUAAUACGAAGGGACCUAGCGUAGUUCGGAAUUACUGGGCUUAAAGAGUUCGUAGGUGGUUAAAAAAGUUGGUGGUGAAAUCCCAGAGCUUAACUCUGGAACUGCCAUCAAAACUUUUUAGCUAGAGUAUGAUAGAGGAAAGCAGAAUUUCUAGUGUAGAGGUGAAAUUCGUAGAUAUUAGAAAGAAUACCAAUUGCGAAGGCAGCUUUCUGGAUCAUUACUGACGCUGAGGAACGAAAGCAUGGGUAGCGAAGAGGAUUAGAUACCCUCGUAGUCCAUGCCGUAAACGAUGUGUGUUAGACGUUGGAAAUUUAUUUUCAGUGUCGCAGCGAAAGCGAUAAACACACCGCCUGGGGAG